rnacentral:rRNA from 1 species
AUUGAACGCUGGCGGCAGGCCUAACACAUGCAAGUCGAACGAGUGGCGGACGGGUGAGUAAUGUCUGGGAAACUGCCUGAUGGAGGGGGAUAACUACUGGAAACGGUAGCUAAUACCGCAUACCAUCGGAUGUGCCCAGAUGGGAUUCGCUAGUAGGUGGGGUAACGGCUCACCUAGGCGACGAUCCCUAGGUGGGAUGCGAGGAUGACAAGCCACACUGGAACUGAGACACGGUCCAGACUCCGACGGUAGGCAGCAGUGGGGAAGCUUGCACAAUGGGCGCAAGCCUGAUGGAGCAAUGCCGCGUGAGUGAAGAAGGCCUUCGGGUUGUAAAGUACUGUCAUCAGGGAGGCGUUACCUGCUGAGGAAGCACCGGCUAACUCCGUGCCAGCAGCCGCGGUAAUUC